rnacentral:tRNA from 1 species
GGGCGAUUGGCUCAGUUGGUUAGAGCGCCACAUUCACAUUGUGGAGGUCAGAGGUCCGAAUCCUCUAUCGCCCACCA